rnacentral:rRNA from 1 species
CACGUAGGGGGCGAGCGUUGUCCGGAUUCAUUGGGCGUAAAGCGCGCGCAGGCGGCUCGGAAAGUCGGGUGUGAAAACUCGGGGCUCAACCCCGGGCGUGCAUCCGAUACUGCCGGGCUUGAGGCAGGUAGGGGAGAUCGGAAUUCCUGGUGUAGCGGUGAAAUGCGCAGAUAUCAGGAGGAACACCGGUGGCGAAGGCGGAUCUCUGGGCCUGUCCUGACGCUGAGGCGCGAAGGCCAGGGGAGCAAACGGG